UAUUCUGCCCCACGGGGAAGGAUGAGAAGCUUCGACUAAGGUUCGACUCGAGCGAAGCGAGAGAACGUUGCCGCAGGCAACGGCCCGAAGGGCGAGGAGCGAUAGCGACGAGUUAUCCUUGCCCCACCACCA
rnacentral:sRNA from 1 species